UACGGAGGAUCCGAGCGUUAUCCGGAUUUAUUGGGUUUAAAGGGUGCGUAGGCGGGAUAAUAAGUCAGUGGUGAAAGUUUGCAGCUUAACUGUAAAAUUGCCGUUGAAACUGUUAUUCUUGAGAGUAGAUAAGGUAGGCGGAAUGUGUUGUGUAGCGGUGAAAUGCAUAGAUAUAACACAGAACCCCGAUUGCGAAGGCAGCUUACCGGGCUACAUCUGACGCUGAUGCACGAAAGCGUGGGGAUCAAACAGGAUUAGAUACCCUGGUAGUCCACGCAGUAAACGAUGAAUACUAGCUGUAUGCGAUAUACUGUAUGUGGCAAAGCGAAAGCAUUAAGUAUUCCACCUGGGGAGUACGUUCGCAAGAAUGAAACUCAAAGGAAUUGACGGGGGCCCGCACAAGCGGAGGAACAUGUGGUUUAAUUCGAUGAUACGCGAGGAACCUUACCCGGGCUUGAAAUGCAAUCGACGGUAUUGGAAACAUUACUUCCAGCAAUGGCGAUUGUGUAGGUGCUGCAUGGUU
rnacentral:rRNA from 1 species